rnacentral:rRNA from 1 species
CCUACGGGUGGCUGCAGUGGGGAAUCUUCCGCAAUGGGCGAAAGCCUGACGGAGCAACGCCGCGUGAUCGAAUGAAGGCCUUCGGGUUGUAAAGAUCUGUUGACAGGGACGAAUAAGCAAUGCGAAUAGUUUUGUGUAUGACGGUACCUGUUUAGAAAGCUCCGGCUAACUACGUGCCAGCAGCCGCGGUAAUACGUAGGGAGCAAGCGUUGUCCGGAUUUACUGGGUGUAAAGGGAGCGUAGACGGCAGCGCAAGUCUGGAGUGAAAUCCCAUGGCUUAACCAUGGAACUGCUUUGGAAACUGUGCAGCUGGAGUGCAGGAGAGGUAAGCGGAAUUCCUAGUGUAGCGGUGAAAUGCGUAGAUAUUAGGAGGAACACCAGUGGCGAAGGCGGCUUACUGGACUGUAACUGACGUUGAGGCUCGGAAGCGUGGGGAGCAAACAGGAUUAGAUACCCCAGUAGUC